AGUAUUUUUGCUAUUUCGGUCUGGUUGGUGAUGUGUGAUGGUGUUUGUAUUUGUGUCUCUCGUUCGGGUGGUUUCUUGCUAUCCUCCAUGUUGGAUUGUUACUGGUUUAACAUCAGUAUGAGUUCUUUCUGAUCUUAUUGGUGCUUCCGAUGUUCACUGCUUCUUUGAGGAACCUUUGUAAGAGUUUCUGGUUCUUUUGCGCAAUUUUAGUGUUUAAAUUUUCAUUUUCGAUCUUUUUUUUAGAUAUUUGUCUUUUUGUUUUUAUUGUUGGUCUAAAUAGUUUUUCCGUUUGGUUGGAGCUUAGCUUC